UCAUCUUUUUGGGUUGUCUUGGAAUGACCUUUGCUGUUAAUGCUAGUGAUGCAAAAUGUGGAUCUACUAAGGCAAGAGGUAUCCUUGACCGUUCUCUGAGGGUUAUUGGAGGAUCAGAGGCCAGGCGAGGUUCCCAUCCGUGGUUGGCACGUAACUCUUCAACCUUACAAAUUGCAUGAUAAACUAAUGCAAUACUACAGUUUUUACAUUCCAAAAGGCAUUGAAGUAUAUGUCAGUAUGAAAAAUUCAUUCUAUUAUUAUCUACAGGUGUCUCUAAGGAUCAGAGGAUCGCAUUUCUGUGCUGCAGCGAUCUUGACAGACCACUGGCUUUUGACUGCUGCUCAUUGCUUUGCAAGUGUAUCCAAGGACUUCCUGCACAAAAUUGAGGCUGUAGCAGGUGAUUUCAACCAAAGAAAAGUUGAUAGAGGGGAGCAGAACUUCCAGGUAAAGACUGUAAAGUUCCAUGAAAAAUAUCAACGCUCCUCUCCCAUGAGCUACGACAUCGCUUUGCUUGAGACCA